rnacentral:rRNA from 1 species
CGUGNCUAUACAUGCAAGUCGAGCGGACAGAUGGGAGCUUGCUCCCUGAUGUUAGCGGCGGACGGGUGAGUAACACGUGGGUAACCUGCCUGUAAGACUGGGAUAACUCCGGGAAACCGGGGCUAAUACCGGAUGGUUGUUUGAACCGCAUGGUUCAAACAUAAAAGGUGGCUUCGGCUACCACUUACAGAUGGACCCGCGGCGCAUUAGCUAGUUGGUGAGGUAACGGCUCACCAAGGCAACGAUGCGUAGCCGACCUGAGAGGGUGAUCGGCCACACUGGGACUGAGACACGGCCCAGACUCCUACGGGAGGCAGCAGUAGGGAAUCUUCCGCAAUGGACGAAAGUCUGACGGAGCAACGCCGCGUGAGUGAUGAAGGUUUUCGGAUCGUAAAGCUCUGUUGUUAGGGAAGAACAAGUACCGUUCGAAUAGGGCGGUACCUUGACGGUACCUAACCAGAAAGCCACGGGCUAACUAGUGCCAGCAGCCGCGGUAAUACGNUAGGGUGGCCAUA